rnacentral:rRNA from 1 species
GACGAACGCUGGCGGCGUGCCUAAUACAUGCAAGUCGAGCGGACUUGACAGGAAAGCUUGCUUUCUUGUCGGUCAGCGGCGGACGGGUGAGUAACACGUGGGCAACCUGCCUGUAAGACCGGGAUAACUCGCGGAAACGCGGGCUAAUACCGGAUAGUUCCUCUUGCUGCAUGGCAAGAGGAGGAAAGAGGGCGCAAGCUCUCACUUACAGAUGGGCCCGCGGCGCAUUAGCUAGUUGGUAGGGUAAUGGCCUACCAAGGCGACGAUGCGUAGCCGACCUGAGAGGGUGAUCGGCCACAUUGGGACUGAGACACGGCCCAAACUCCUACGGGAGGCAG